GACCGGUUAGCUCAGUUGGUUAGAGCAUCGUGCUGACAACACCAAGGUCCAGGGUUCGAACCCCGUACCAGCCA